ACUUUCUUUCUUGCAUUUUCUGUGUUGGAUACAUACAUUUUCAUUUACUUUUGCCUUUACAAAAACCUUAAAAAAAAAAAAAGUCCAAGUGUAAAAUCUUGUCAAGGGUUCCCCAUCCAGCUACAAUGUGUCCAGAGCUAACGCAAAGGAAAAAGGAGGAAGGCCUACUCUGAGCUUGCCGGAGGAGACAAGCACUAGGGGCUGCGAGAGAUGCACAGCCAGGACAACUAGGGGCCUGGCUUAUAGCACAGAGACUAGAGAUGGAUGCUACCAGCUGAUAUCAAGGUUUCUGAAAGUCUCUAGAAGAAAAUUGCAUGGUGUAUGCUUGCAAUGUUUUCUGGGAAGGUCUGGAUGUGGUAACAGGAGUGAGGCCAGGCUCGGGCUCGGCCUCAGCCGUGGGAAGAGGCAAGGUGCACACAUGACUCCCUCAACCAAAACACGGCACAAGAGCUUCUGGGAACUCAAACCACAGGCAGAAUCCAGGAGCUGGAAGAAGGCCGCAGGCAGUUUGCAGACGCCUGCAGAGCAAGACAAGCCGUGUUUGAUGCUGAAGAACAGAGGAGUCCUUAGAGGAUGGAUGCUGAUGUCCAGUGCUUAUUUUUGUUCUGACUACAUCAAGAGUGGCCAGUCCUCUGACAGAACUCACCUAUGAGGCGUCUGCCAGCAUCCAAGAAGUAUGGAAGCACUUCAAGAGGACCCCAGCAUGCAGGACUGCCUGGUGCUGAUCUAAGAACUUCAUUUUUUAAAAAUUGGAGUAAAACAAUAUAUGGCUGGAAACACACA